rnacentral:misc_RNA from 1 species
AAGUCGUAACAAGGUCUCCGUAGGUGAACCUGCGGAGGGAUCAUUUAUGAUGACAAGUGAAAAUUAACUGGGGAUGGUUUUGGAGGUGGGGUGGUGAAUGAAUGGAUGUGGCCUGGUGAGGACUGUGGGAGUUGCCAGGGGAGAAAAGGGUUUUGGUGGUGAAUGGAUGGCACUCCGCGGGACUCGCCCGGCCGGUCGCGGACAAGUGACGCAGAGUCGCGCAGCGCCCACGGGCCUGUGACUAAAACACCAGAGAAAGUGACAAUUGACAACUGUCGGCAACGGAUCUCUUGGUUCUC